AACGAACGCUGGCGGCAUGCCUAACACAUGCAAGUCGAACGAUACCUCCGGUUCUAGUGGCGGACAGGUGUGUAACGCGUGGUAAUCUGCCCGUCUCUUCGGAAUAUCUUCUUGAAAUUUUUGCUAAUACCGGAUACUUUCUUUGUGUGAAAGCUUUAUCGCUUAAGGAUGUGCCCGCGUUUGAUUAGGUAUUUGGUGAGGUAUAGGCCUACCAAGGCGACGAUCCAUAGCUGGUUUGAGAGGAUGAUCAGCCAGACUGGGACUGAGACACGGCCCAGACUCCUACGGGAGGCAGGAGUGGGGAAUCUUAGACAAUGGGGGCAACCCUGAUCUAGCAAUGCCGGGUGAGUGAUGAAGGCGUUAGGGUUGUAAAGCUCUUUGAGCUGGGAAGAUAAUGACGGUACCAGCAGAAGAAGCGCCGGCUAACUCCGUG
rnacentral:rRNA from 1 species